AGAUCGUGAGUUUCUCCGAAGCCCUAGAAGCUAUCUUGCUCGGUUGUAAGUCCAAGAACCGAAGAUUGAAUGGAGAAGAAAAUUUUUGUGGAAGCAAAAGAUGAGUUGAUGUAUUUGUAGUUUCUUUUGAAUUGACUUGUUUAACUACUUAGAGUGUUGGAUAUUGUUACAUACCAUGAGUUGUAUGCAUUGUAUAUGCUUCUCUUGACUUUUUUGUAUGAUUAUAUAUUGACAACAUUGGACUUGUAUUAUUGUAGAUUUUAUUUCAAAUAUUAAUAGGAUGUGUAUAUAUGUUA